UAAACUAGGAUUAGAUACCCUAUUAUUAUAAAUGUUUAUUUUUAUACUAAAUUAUUAAUAGUUAUGUUCUUUAAAAUUAAAAAAUUUGGCGGUAUUUUAGUCUUUUCAGAGGAACCUGUCCUGUAAUUGAUAGUCCACGAUUAGGGAUACUUUAUUUAUUAAUUUACAUAUCGUCGUAGUUUGAAUAUUUUAUUAGAAUUAUAAUAUUCAAGAUUUUAUUUUAGAAAAUAUAUCAGAUCAAGGUGUAGUUUAUAAUAAAGGAGAGGUGGGUUACAAUAAAUUUAUUUUUGAAUAAAUUUUUUGAAAAAAUUUUGAAUUUGGAUUUGAAAGUAAUUUUUUGAGUUUUACUAAAAAUGAUUAUAGCUCUAAAAUAUGUACACAUCGCCCGUCGCUCUUAA
rnacentral:rRNA from 1 species